rnacentral:misc_RNA from 1 species
GUGAGUCAUCGAAUCUUUGAACGCACAUUGCGCCCGCCAGCAUUCUGGCGGGCAUGCCUGUUCGAGCGUCAUUGCAACCCUCAGGCCCUGCCUGGCGUUGGAGGACUGCGCUGCAGCCUCCUAAAGCAAGCGGCGGCGGCGCCCCAAAACCGAACGCAGUAAUACAUCUCGUUCUGGGUCUGGGACGUUGUCCGGCCGGAAAACCCCCUCUUUUACGUGGUUGACCUCGAAUCAGGUAGGAAUACCCGCUGAACUUAAGCAUAUCAAUAAGCGGAGGA